GAUGAACGCUGGCGGCGUGCCUAAUACAUGCAAGUCGAGCGAACAGAUGAGGAGCUUGCUCCUCUGACGUUAGCGGCGGACGGGUGAGUAACACGUGGAUAACCUACCUAUAAGACUGGGAUAACUUCGGGAAACCGGAGCUAAUACCGGAUAAUAUAUUGAACCGCAUGGUUCAAUAGUGAAAGACGGUUUUGCUGUCACUUAUAGAUGGAUCCGCGCCGCAUUAGCUAGUUGGUAAGGUAACGGCUUACCAAGGCAACGAUGCGUAGCCGACCUGAGAGGGUGAUCGGCCACACUGGAACUGAGACACGGUCCAGACUACUACGGGAGGCAGCAGUAGAGAAGCUUCCACAAAGGGCGAAAGCCUGACGGAGCAACGCCGCGUGAGUGAUGAAGGUCUUCGGAUCGUAAAACUCUGUUAUUAGGGAAGAACAAAUGUGUAAGUACCUAUGCACGUCUUGACGGUACCUAAUCAGAAAGCCACGGCUAACUACGUG
rnacentral:rRNA from 1 species